GAGUGAGUGCAGCGCCCCCUCAGGCUGAGAUAAGUAAGCCUGAGCGGCAGCGCUAGAAGAGGGAGGCGUGUGACAGAAGCACACGGCUAACAGCGAAAACAACCCAAGUGUGUGUGAGUGGUCCCUUAAACAGCAACCGUGCCCCGCCGCGCCCCCACCCCCAGCGGAGCCGUCAUGUGGCAAGAGGCCCGCAAACAUGAGCGUAAGCUCCGUGGCAUGAUGGUAGAUUACAAACGCCGAGGAGAGCGACGGCGAGAGUACUACGAGAAGAUCAAAAAAGAUCCAGCUCAGUUUCUUCAGGUUCAUGGCCGAGCGUACAAGAUUCAUCUGGAUCCUGCUGUGGCCACGGCUGCAGAGAGCCCCAUCAACAUGAUGCCAUGGCAAGGAGAUGCCAACAACAUGAUUGACAGGUUUGAUGUAAGGGCUCAUCUAGACUACAUCCCUACAUACACUCCUCCACUGCUCAGCACAUCGAACCCAGAGCAGGACAUGGAGGAGAGGAAGUGCAAUUAUGAGCGAUACAGAGGCCUAGUGCAGAAUGACUUUGCCAACAUCUCUGAGGAGCAGUGUUUAUACCAGAUCUACCUGGAUGAACUAUACGGUGGUCUGCAGAAACCAAAUGAGGACGAGAAGAAAAAACUGGCUGAAAAGAAAGCCACCAUUGGUUACACGUAUGAAGACAGCACUGUGAUGGAGCCCGACCCCCAGUCAGACAAAGAGGAGGAUGAUUCAGAAAACAGCGAAUCGGAAGAGGAUGAGGGCAUCCCAGAUAUUGAUGUGGAGGUUGACGUUGACGAGCUGAACGAGGAACAGGUGUUGGACGUAAACAAAAUGGCAACCCCAUACGGAAUGGCUGAAGGAGACUUUGUUAGGAUGUUGAGGAAAGACAAGGAGGAAGUGGAGGCCAUCAAACAUGCCAAAGCUCUGGAGGCGGAGAAGGCCAUGUACUCUGGCCGGCGUUCCCGCAGACAAAGGAGAGAGUUCAGAGAGAAGAGACUAAAAGGAAGACAGAUCAGCCCACCAAGCUAUGCCAGGAGAGACAGCCCAACAUACGAUCCCUAUAAACGGCCAGAGAUGGAGUCCAGCUCAGAGUCGCGGUCACGCUCUCGUUCUCCUGGUCCGGAGAAGAUCACCUUCAUCACCAGCUACGGAGGCAGCGAUGAUGAAGCAGUAGCGGCGGCGGCAGCGGCGGCAGCAGCUGCAGCAGUAGCUGCAGCAGCAACACAAUCAGCUGCUCCCCACUCUGGACACGCCCCCUCCAGCUUACAGCACCCUGCAGGUCAUAGCAGGGGCUCCCGGAGAAGAAGGUCAUCCUCCAGUCGCUCCCCCUCCUCCUCCUCCCGCUCCUCAUCGCGAUCCUCCUCCCACUCUUCUUCCCGUUCCCGCCGCGGUCGACGUGGGCGUGGCGGGAGGGACGGGCGGCGGUCCCGGAGCGAUGGGCGGCGAUCCCGGAGCCGAUCGCGGUCGAGGCGGCGUUCCAGAUCUCACUCACGAGGCAGAGCAGGGAACGGAGGGGCCGCGUCCUGGAAGAGGCGGGACCGGACACGAUCACGGUCUAACGACAGAGAGCGAGGAAGGGACCGGGACCGGGACAGGAGACGGUACUCAGCACGCAGGCGGACAAAGUCCCGUUCCAGCUCACGGCAGGGGGGCAGCUCGAGGCGAGGGGGGCGGAGCAGCGGGGGUCAUCGGAGGGCCGACAGCGGCAGCAAAAGCCCCUCCCGGUCGCCCAGUCGCUCCAACCGCACUCCCUCCCCUCACAGAGGAGCCCCGCCCUCUUCCAACACCAUCUGUGACAAGCUAAGAAAGCCUGAUACUCCGGGUGGUAAAGAGACGGGAGCUGCCAAAGUCAAACAAGAUGACCCCACAGGAGAAGCUGAAGAUCAAAAUGCAGAAGGCGCUCAACAGGCAGUCCAAGGCGGAUAAAAGAGCGGCGCAGGUGAAGGUCCAGCAGCAGGAAAGCAAACGACAGGAGCGAGAGGGAGAGCUACGAGCCAUGGCACGCAAGAUACGCAUGAAGGAGCGAGAGAGACGUGAGAAGGAGAGGGACGAAUGGGAGAGACAGUACGGGCGUCAGAGCCACUCGCCUUCCCCUUCCAAACAUGGCCGAGAGCACAGCUCACACAGAAGGUAUGCGAGAAGCCGCAGCAAUCCCAACAGCUCCGAUGAAGCAGAAUGAAUUAUGGAGGUCUCGGUCCCGGUCACGAAGUCCACCCUACCGAUACUGAGCGGAGGGAACAUGGACGCCUCCUACAGUCCCAUUAGUACACAGCCAUGUACACAUAUUCUAACAAACGGCCAACAAACGUGAAAAGAUGGAGUGAUCAUGAUACCAACCUUUACUUGAACACUCUGUCCUCUGGUAUGUGUCCACAGAUAUAAUAUUUGGACUGUGAUACCUUUUACUUUCAGUUAUCAAAGCCAAUUGGUUCGGCGGAGCGGAGUUUGAUCUGCCCUUUUCAUUUUUGAUUCAACUUGUAAAAAGUCUUCAGCUUUAAUAAAUUAGUUUCUUCUUCUGCAUGCUCCUUUUUUCUUUCUCUGCCUGAACAGUUCUCAACUCGUCUGGAGUUGUUCAUUUGUAUUUCAAUGUACAUAAUAAGCAACAUCUCACCUUUUCACCUCACAUCGUCUCCACGUUAGCCUUUCUUUUUAUUUCUCCGACAAGCUCACACUACAGAACAUUUUAACAACCUCUCAAGAGCCGAUGUACAGGAUAUUUACACUUAUCCAUUUAUUUAAAACGUCUUUAUUAAAGGAAACAAACUCCCUGUAUAAAUUCAAACUUUAUCCAGCGCUCCUUUUAUACUCUGUCGUCUGCUAACCGGUUUACAGCAGCAUAUAGCCUUUUGGUUUUCAGCAAAAUGGAAUGUAAAAUAUGGAACAAUAAAUAAAACUCACUUUGAAACUA